GCGUGUCGUGGUAUUUCGCGUAUUGUAAUUUCAACACGAGCGGGGUCAAAUCCUUUGCAGACGACUUAGCUGUGCGAAACGGUCCUGUAAGCAGUAGAGUAGCCUUGUUGUUACGAUCUGCUGAGGGUAAGCCGUCCUUCGCCUCGAUUU
rnacentral:rRNA from 1 species